rnacentral:rRNA from 1 species
UACGUAGGGGGCAAACGUUAUCCGGAUUCACUGGGUGUAAAGGGAGCGUAGACGGCCAUGCAAGCCUGGAGUGAAAGCCCGGGGCCCAACCCCGGGACUGCUCUGGGAACUGUGCGGCUGGAGUGCGGGAGGGGCAGGCGGAAUUCCUGGUGUAGCGGUGAAAUGCGUAGAUAUCAGGAGGAACACCGGUGGCGAAGGCGGCCUGCUGGACUGCAACUGACGUUGAGGCCCGAAAGCGUGGGGAGCAAACAGG